rnacentral:rRNA from 1 species
CACUAUUGGAUGAGCCUAUGUCGGAUUAGUUAGUUGGUGGGGUAAAGGGACCUACCAAGGCAGCGAUCCGUAGCUGGUCUUAGAGGAUGAUCAGCCACAUCGGGACUGAGACACGGCCCGAACUCCUACGGGAGGCAGCAGUGGGGAAUAUUGCACAAUGGGCGCAAGCCUGAUGCAGCUAUGCCGCGUGUGUGAAGAAGGCCUUAGGGUUGUAAAGCACUUUCAGUAGUGAGGAAAAGUGUUGUGUUAAUAGCGCAAUGCUGUGACGUUAGCUACAGAAGAAGGACCGGCAAACUCCGUG